UCCGUAGGUGAACCUGCGGAAGGAUCAUUGACACGAAUCCAUAUUUCAACCAAUCAUAUUUGUGUGAAGUCUGACCUCGGUCAGCUUCGACGGUAUUCAUUGACGACCGAUUGCUCGGAUCCUCGAUGGAUAUCACCUGUUCACCCAUUUCAUACUAUUUUGUGAAAUUUAUUUCGAAAGUUUAUCUUACAACUUUUAGCGAUGGAUCCCUCGGCUCGAGUAACGAUGAAGGACGCAGCAAAAUGCGAUAAGCGUUGUGAAUGGCAGAAUCCCGCGAAUCAAGAGAAUGCUGAACGCAUACUGCGCUUUCAGGUUACUCCUGAAAGCAUCUUCGGCUCAGGGCAUUAAUACUAUCAUGCAGACUGCCUGGCAUCAGUUCGCUGUUGUCGUGUGGUUAUGCGUCUUUGUGGGUCAGCGACGAUUAUCCGUUGGCGCAUCAAAUUAGCAAGAAUGCUAGCGAUUUCGCAGGGUGACAAUUUCGGUUGAACUUUUGCGCAGUAGCUAUGCAGAAUUGCCACUCAUGACGAAGCGACUCUUCCGUCGCUGUUGUUCAUGCAUGAGCUCGAAGAAGGCUACCCGCUGAAUUUAAGCAUAUCAAUA
rnacentral:rRNA from 1 species